rnacentral:lncRNA from 1 species
ACUUGCACGGUGAUGGAAAUCAGAAGGAGGGACCUUCUUUCCAGGGUUUGACUGGACAACAGUCAGCCUUCCCCUGGCACUGCUGGUCACCAAGUGACUAACAAACCAGAGCCGUAGGGUGCACUCCUAUCAGUACUUUAAUCUAUAGAUUCCAGAAGGGCAUAAAUUAUGUCCAUUUUCUUACUGCUGCAGAGCUAGGGCCUAUCUCAGUGCCUGGCACACGCUUCCAGCCAAGCCCCAUCUGGAACAUACCUCAUGGAGUUGAAAGCUGUCGUUGGAAAGAGCCAAAGAGGGGACUCCAUAGAGCCAGAGCCACAGCCACAGCUGCCCCUGGCAAGCCCUGGGCAGCAGGACACCAAGGUGCCUGCAGGUAUGAGGCCUCAGGUUUAAGCAGAGCUAGACACAGAAAGUGUUUGUGUGGGAGCCCCUCCUCUGCCACUGAGAGGGGUGGACUCCAAACUCAAGAGCAGGUGGCCUGCCCCACUUCGACUCAGCCACAGGCUUCUUUUGUGUGUAUCGUUAGAGCUAUUUGCUAUUAGAAAACCCACUGAAAUACUCUAAAUUCAUCUUUCUUCCAAAGUGGAUAUAGCGUCAUGCAAAGGAUAAUUUGAGCAUGAACUGGUUCUUCUGUUUAGUUGAAGCUGUUUCUGGAAAUCGCCAAAGUUGGAGUGGGCUGCCAGCCUGUCAAAAGGAAUCCUCCUACCCAGGCUAAACAAACAGCCUCAAAAAAUACCCUGAGAGGCAGCAGCCAUCUAGUAACAUGUAAUAGAGAGGGGCUUGGUCCAGUGGGAAGUGGAGAGCAACAAGAGAGACUGGAACUCCCAGCCGCAAUGAAGAUUUGUAGAGUGAAAGCUGCCUUCAACGUAUCAUGAAGCCGGCACACCAUGAGGAACACUUUCAAAAACAUUCAGAAAAGAAAGGGCCAUUGCUCAACAUGAGGGACAAAUUAAUACUGUCGUGAAAGAGGGCAGGAUACGAAUUGUGCGGCUCUGGACUGAUCUGACAGAUGGGGCCACGUGCGUGAAUGCACACUCACCUCUUGUGUGCACCAAUCUCUCUCCAGGCUUCCUGGAAGGGCAACCCACUGUCACUUAAAACAACAGCAGUGAGCAUUGGCGGAACAAUGGAUUUUGAUUAGAAAAACACUAAUGCCAUAUCUAUUUGCUAAUUGUAGACUCUUAACAAUUUCUGUCAAAUGUAGGAUUCUUUUUAAAAUUUCAGAGAAGUAAUCACAGCCUUCUGAAAUCCGGCGCGAGCCCUAUCCAUUCAGGCUUUUGUUUGCAUAAUGUGGGAAGUUUUGUGGGGGUGUGGGCCUCUGUGAGAGGGAUGUAAUAGAGUCGUUCUCUUUCCAAGGGCCCUUGAGAAGGCAAGUGUUGAGCUUACGGUUUUAAUCAUGAAGGACCAAAGAUAACCAACUGAAAAGUUUUUGAUCAAGAUGUUUACAUCUUCAUUGUAAGCACUGGAAUUGAGAGGGUAAAUCACAAAAUACAUGCAGAAGCCAUGCUUUUUUAUUCUUUCACAUGGUGUCUGAGACACUUAGUGUCUCAGAAUUUUCACAUAUUUAUUGCCUACUUGGCUAAAACAAAGAAAGGAUGAGAAAACCAUCCAAAUACAGGGAAAUAAAAAAGAAUUAAAACCAUGAGAG